GAUGCGAUCUCCACUAUCCAUGUGACCCCUGAGGAUGGGUUUAGCUACGCUAGCUUCGAAGCCGUGGGUUACGACUUCAACACCCUCGACCUGAGCCAGCUUGUGACAAGGGUUCUGUCUUGCUUUGAGCCAAAGCAAUUCUCUGUGGCCGUGCACUCGAGCGUUGGAGCGAACGCGUACAAGCCAGAGAUCAGUGUGGACUUGGAAGACUAUGGGUGCAGAGAGAGGACAUUUGAGUCUCUAGGGGAAGAGAGUGGGACGGUUAUGUAUCAGACGUUUGAGAAGCUUGGCAAGUACUGUGGAUCGCCUAGAUCUACCUUGAAGUGUGAGUGGAGCAGCAACAAUAGCUGCAGCAGCGAGGACGAGAAGGACGAGGGAAUCUAGCAGAACUAUUUAUGAGCUUUCUGUUUUUAUGCAAUCUUUCUUUUGUUUCGUAAUGAAUAAUGGCUUGUGAAGUUGAUUUGUUUCGCAAUGAAUAAUGGCUUGUGAAGUUGAGGUACUCUCACCUUUCACAAGCAUGUGUGCUGUGUGUUUCGUACUGUUAUGUUUGGAUCUCUAAUAUAUGAAAAAGACUAUUAUGUUUGCUAUUAUGAUUUACGCUUUCUUACAUUACUCGUGUUUCCUAGUGUUGUCACAAUUGAAUGAAAAAAAAAACUAGAGGGC
rnacentral:lncRNA from 1 species